rnacentral:tRNA from 1 species
ACCUAGCUGGCUCAGUUGGUAGAACAUGUGACUCUUGAUCUCAGGGUUGCAGUUUCAAGCCUUGUGUUGGGUG